UCUCUGGUGGCCCAGUGGUUAGGACUCAGCACUUUUACUGCUAAGGGCCUGGGUUCAAUCCCUGGCCAGGGAA